rnacentral:hammerhead_ribozyme from 1 species
AUCCAGCUGACGAGUCCCAAAUAGAACAAAAAAACGCGUUCUGGAU